CCAGAAUCCAUUACUGCCUGAUUAAAUUACCCAGAUUUCUGCGUGUGAAGGUGAAAGUUCUAAAAGACAUCCGUGAGACGAAUAUCAAUGCUGCAGUUUUGGACAGUGCAUUGGAAAUCAAGCUGCAGAAGGUCUGGAAAGUUAUUAUGCAAAGAAAGAAGAGGAAUAUGAAAUAUUAAAAGCAGAUAGUAUUCAGAUUGGAUGAGGGCCGAAUCAAGCCUAUUUUUCUUGAGAAGCAUCUCACACAAAUCACUUGUAGCAGAUUAUGCAGUGAGGAGGACAGGAAAACUUGGUGGGCUGGAAACUAAACAGACCACAGAAGUUUCUUCUGAGAAACCACAUGAGUGAAAAUCCUUAUGGUGUUUGCUAUCUGAGUGGUGUUUAAAAUUGCAACAGCAGUUCUUAAAAUUCUAAAUAGACGUUGACUGGGAUAAUUUACUAAUUCUAUGAUU